GGGCGUGUGGCUGAGUAGUCAAAGGCACCACACUGUAAAUGUGGCGGGUUCUACCCUUCGUAGGUGCAAAUCCUACCGCGCCCA
rnacentral:tRNA from 1 species